rnacentral:misc_RNA from 1 species
UUGAAAUGCAAUUGCUUUGUAUUUUAUGUGAAAAUAUUUUAUGUAAAAAUAAUAUUUUGAAAAAAAAAUUAUUUUCUAUUGUGUGGUUGUAACAUUGGAAAUCAAUGAGACAUAUUUUGAAUUGUAGAGAGUAUUGUAAGAAUAAUUUUCUUUCUUAUAAAUAAGAUUAUGGUUGGACCUAUGGGAAUUUCACUCUUUUUUUUAUGUUAAUACUUGAAUAAAGGAGAAAACUAAUUGAAAAAGAAAGGGUCAAUUGAGGUGGCCAUCUGCAUUUCACAAUGACUGAUUGUAAGUAACCAUGACGGCCAGCUAUGGCCACGGGUGGAACUAGAAGGUUCAGAUUGGGACAGUGUUAUCAAGGCGAAAGGCG